UUCGGGGUACUCGAGUGGCGAACGGGUGAGUAACACGUGGGUGAUCUGCCCUGCACUUUGGGAUAAGCCUGGGAAACUGGGUCUAAUACCGAAUAUGACCACGCGCUUCAUGGUGUGUGGUGGAAAGCUUUUGCGGUGUGGGAUGGGCCCGCGGCCUAUCAGCUUGUUGGUGGGGUAAUGGCCUACCAAGGCGACGACGGGUAGCCGGCCUGAGAGGGUGACCGGCCACACUGGGACUGAGAUACGGCCCAGACUCCUACGGGAGGCAGCAGUGGGGAAUAUUGCACAAUGGGCGCAAGCCUGAUGCAGCGACGCCGCGUGAGGGAUGACGGCCUUCGGGUUGUAAACCUCUUUCAAUAGGGACGAAGCGCAAGUGACGGUACCUAUAGAAGAAGGACCGGCCAACUACGUGCCAGCAGCCGCGGUAAUACGUAGGGUCCGAGCGUUGUCCGGAAUUACUGGGCGUAAAGAGCUCGUAGGUGGUUUGUCGCGUUGUUCGUGAAAACUCACAGCUUAACUGUGGGCGUGCGGGCGAUACGGGCAGACUAGAGUACUGCAGGGGAGACUGGAAUUCCUGGUGUAGCGGUGGAAUGCGCAGAUAUCAGGAGGAACACCGGUGGCGAAGGCGGGUCUCUGGGCAGUAACUGACGCUGAGGAGCGAAAGCGUGGGGAGCGAACAGGAUUAGAUACCCUGGUAGUCCACGCCGUAAACGGUGGGUACUAGGUGUGGGUUUCCUUCCUUGGGAUCCGUGCCGUAGCUAACGCAUUAAGUACCCCGCCUGGGGAGUACGGCCGCAAGGCUAAAACUCAAAGGAAUUGACGGGGGCCCGCACAAGCGGCGGAGCAUGUGGAUUAAUUCGAUGCAACGCGAAGAACCUUACCUGGGUUU
rnacentral:rRNA from 1 species